rnacentral:tRNA from 1 species
ACUAAUGUCCUACAGUGGUAGCGCAUCAGACGUGAGUUCACAAUUCCCCACAAUCGCCUGGAUCAUUCCCUGAUUCAAUUCCAGUUCUAUUUGAUAUCUGGAGGCUGCGGGUUCGAGCCCCGCCGUGAGUG